UGACCUCAAAUCGGGUGAGACUACCCGCUGAACUUAAGCAUAUCAAA
rnacentral:rRNA from 1 species